UCCGUAGGCGGUUUAAUAAGUUAGUGGUGAAAGCCCAUCGCUCAACGAUGGAACGGCCAUUGAUACUGUUAGACUUGAAUUAUUGGGAAGUAACUAGAAUAUGUAGUGUAGCGGUGAAAUGCUUAGAUAUUACAUGGAAUACCAAUUGCGAAGGCAGGUUACUACUAAGGGAUUGACGCUGAUGGACGAAAGCGUGGGGAGCGAACAGGAUUAGAUACCCUGGUA
rnacentral:rRNA from 1 species